GCUUCAGUGGUCCAACGGUAGGAUAAUUGCCUUCCAAGCAAUUGGCCCGGGUUCGACUCCCGGCUGAUGCA